AGACAUAAUCUUUUAAUAGUUGACUCAGGUUGACUUGAUUGUGGCAAAAAAAAUACAUAUUGUACCUUUAAAACAGAAUCCAUGGAAAGUGUGGGGAGGCUGAGCCCAGGUCAGUACAAAAGGGCAGCAGACCAGACAGAGAACGUAUCGGGGCUAAAUGCUUUAAAAUCAGGGCCAGCCUCUUAGCCAUGGUCCAUUUGUCAAAUUGGCCAGUCUGGGGCAUUGCAUCCUGUCGCACUCUCUCUCUUUGCCUCAAAGCUCCUGGCACAGUAGCGAGCCCCAUGCCAGCCGACAGCAUGGCAUCUGACAGCAUGGCAUCCACCAACAGCCUCUCUCAGGAGGCCCAGCCUGAAAAGAAGCCCGUCGUCACGGUGUCUUACUCGUCCUCGUCUUCGGCCACCUUCUCCUCCUCCUCAUUCUCGUUCACGUCUUUGUCUCAGAGGGCCAGCGAUGAUUGCCCGUCUCCCCUGAAGGAGUCUGAGGAGGGAGCUCCAGCCCGCCCUUCUAGCGUGCCUUCCAGCCCCAUGGUCCAGAACUCAAACAGCUCCAGCAGCGGCAGCGGCGGUGGUGAGGGAUUCCUCUCAGACGGCAGCAGCUCCUCUGUUUCCACCUUGAGGAGAGCCAGCAACAUCGACCUGUGCGAGCAAGAACCACCUGCUGAAGGCAACACCAGAGUCCAGACAUCAACCGGCUCCGCCACCACUGCUUUGACCACCGCUAACUGUGAAAGCAGUAUUAGCAGCAGUAUUAGCAGCAGUAUUAGCAGCAUUAGUAGCAGCAUUAGUAGCAGCAGCAGCAGUGAUUUUCUCACAGACAGCACCAUCUCCUCGUUGGCAACCGUGACAAGAUUUAGCAAUAUCCAGCUUUACCAGCAAGGUGCACCUGAAUGCGAGACCAGUACCCAGAUAUCUGCCAAAUCCUCUACCACCAUCAUCAGUGGCAGCAGUAGCUGUAACAGCAGCAGCGGCAGCAGUGAAUUUCUCUCAAACAGCACCACUUCCUCAGUGGCCACCUUGAGAAGAGCCAGCAGCCUCCAGUUGUGUCAGGAAAAGCCUCCUGACUGCAUUGCCAGUACCCAGACCUCCGCCAGCUCCACAACCACUACUGGCAGCAGCGCAAGUAGCAGCAGCAGCGGAAGUAGCACCAACAGUAGCAGCAGCAGUAGUAGUAGUUGUGGCAGCAGCAGUAGUAGUAGCAGGACCAGUGAUUUCCUGUCAGACAGAGGCAGCUUUUCUGCUGUCACCCACAACAACACUCAUCUCUGCCAGCACCCGCCUCCUGAUCACAACAGC
rnacentral:lncRNA from 1 species